rnacentral:lncRNA from 1 species
AAGGCUUUCCUGGAGAACUGGGAGGCUCCUCAAGUUCAAAGUCAAACCAGCAGCAGCAGCAGCAGCAGCAGCGAGGUUUAUAAUCCUAAACCCUGUAAGCUUCCAGGGUCAUCUCUUCCGUACUUCACCAUCACUGUAGCCUCACCACUGGGCAGCUCAGCCGCACACACACACCACACACACACUCACACACACCACACACUCACACAUACUACACACACCACACACUCACACAACACACACCACACACUCACACACACCACACACACCACACACUCACACAACACACACACAUCCCACACACACCACACACACCUCACACACACCACACAGUUACACACACCACACACACUACACAUACCCCACACACACACCACACACACAUCCCACACACACACCACAUACCUCACACACACCAGUCACACACACCACACACACUACAUAUCCCACAGACACACCACAUACCCCACACACACACCACACACACACCACACACACACCACACACACACACCACACACAUAUUACACACUCACACCACACUCACACACCACACACAUCACAGUCACACGCACCACACACACAUAUCACACAGACACCACACACAAGCACACACAUGCACACACACACCACACACACCACAUACUCAUAUACCAUGCUCACACACCCCACACACAUCACAACACAUAUGAAACAUUCACACACGAUACACUCAUACACCAUGCUCACACACACCAUGCAAAUACCACACACACCACACACCACACUCAGACACCACACACCAUUCACACAUACCACACACCAUGCUCACAUGACCACACACACCACACACACUAUACACCACAAUUACACACAACACACUCGCACAUACACCACACACUACUCUCACACACCACCCUCACACACACCACACACACACCCCCACACACCACUCACACACAUCACACCACACUCAUACAUACCACACAUACACACACACCACACUUACACACACACCACACUUACACACACCCCACACGACAAGCACACACACCACACUCGCACACACACACCACACAGUGCAGAGCAGGAUCUUUCUGCAAACGUGGAAGCUUCGGGGUUCCCAGUCCUCCAGUUCCUGGGGAUCUAA